rnacentral:sRNA from 1 species
ACUCAGAAGAUGAUUCUGAUGAAUCUAUGGAAGAAGAUGAAUCUGAAG